GCAACCCCUCCAAAAUAACUUAACAAAGGACAAUAAAUGUGGGGUGGGGGGAGUAGAGUGGAUGUAAUACUUUCUUCUUUGUGCCCGAAGCCACCUGUUCUGAGAACUGUCUGCCUUGCUAAUUGCGUGGAUAAACAGUCUGUCACGAUUAGUCAGCAGGGUGAAGAGGCAGACAAGCGAGGUUGUUUGUAGGCGCCAGGAUCGGCGACAUCAAAGGCGAUCUCCUUGGGGGGACGCCGUGGAAAGUUUGGCCGGCUCCAGCAGCGACCCGCCCCCGCCGAACACGCCUCAACCCCCGGGCUGAGCCGAUUCCAGAGCCCUGUCCUGGCUUUGAAAUCAAGGAUGGGAAAAGAAAGCAAGCGAAAAAAAAGAACACGGCGUAUAAACUUGUAAAACACCAGCUUGCCAGUAGGGUUUAAAGUGAACAUCCUGAAUGUAAAAUGCACGCGGCCCAAUGCAUUCCAAUACAGAGUUUAUUAGUACAGUGAAAAGAUCUAAUGACAACAUACUUUUUUUCUAAAAAAAAUGUAUCAUUAUUGAAUUGCAAGAGUCAAGUUUCCGAAAAUUAUAGCUAUGCGGCGGAUUCACAUUUAAUACUCCCGAACAACUUCUGAACGGGUACAUUGCACAUAUGAAUCCUUAAACAAACUUCUUUAACAGAAUAGGACGAAAUGUUCUCAGUUUUCCAUUUCAAAAGUAAAUAUUCACUCCCGGUGUUUGUAUCAGGGUCAGAUAUAUUGUUGAUGUCUACGUUUUAGAAAGAAUUGGAUUUGUCCUAAAACAACUCUGCGGCAGUUUUCACGCACAGGUGCGGACAGGUGAGAUAUGACCUGUGGUGUGCACAAUCUGAAGCCUUUAAAUUGAGCUUAAUUAUAUUAUACAGCAAUGCAGAAAAUUGAAGCAGGCAGCACGUGUCCAUCAACCAGAGUUAAACAUAUAACUUGCAGAUUCUAUGUUAAGGAGCUCAUUGCAUUCAAUUAUCAUAUGUCAGGGCAAGAUGGCAUCCUUGGGAUACAUAGGUCGACUAGGGACUUUCGACAAGAACUGUGAAACCUUUACCCCGUACUGUGAGCGAAUGGAAAUGUUUUUUAUUGCAAAUUACAUUAUUGAAGCUGAAGAAACAGAGGAUGAGGAUCAAGUGCAGGUGUCAUAUUCUGAAUACGUUUUGGAAGGAUUUUCUGCACAUAAAGGCAAGCAGAUGGCGCCUGUGUGUGAUGGAAUCAUGCGAUUAGCAGACAGAGUGGGUGCUGAAAAUCUAAUGAAAAUCUUUCGAGAAUUGAACCGGAUGAGUGGCUGGAAAUUGACAAGGAUGUAACAGAGACAUUAAAUACUGAUGAAAUCAUAAAAUCACAUAAACCUAAAGUUCAAGAAGACGAAAGUGAAGAUGGAGGGGAACCAUAGAAUGAAGUCGCUUGGAAAAUAGCUGUUGAAGAAUUUGAAACUUGUUUAGCAAUGAAGCUGCUCUUCUCCACAAACCUUCUUCAUUCAUACUUCUUGCAUGAGAUAAGGAAGACUUGCAAGCAAGCAGGCAGGAUUCAUUCAAGAAGCCUAGUUAGCUCAAAUCUUCCUAGCCUUUGACUUGGACCCAUGAAAAUUCUAUUGGAGUCAUGGUCAUAGUCAUACAGUGUGGAAACAGGCCUUUCUGCCCAACUUGCCCAUACCGUCCAACAUGUCCCAGCUACACUAGUCCCACUUACCUGCAUUUGGUCCAUUAUCCCUCCAAACUUGUCCUAUUGAACCUGAUGAAAUGAGAAUCCAGAACACAGGAAAUAAAUUACAUUGCUCUUUUGACAUUUAGAAUUAGUGAUUUUUGUUUAAGUGAUAGUUUAUCCAAUGCUAGGCUAUGCAUAAAAAUCCAUGCAUAACCAAAAUUGUUUGUUUUUAUAAAAUAUACUCAAACAUUAAAUUUUAUUUCAAGUGUUUUGCAAAGUAAAUGUGUUCAGUUUAUUUAAAUAUAUACACACGGGCAGUGCAGGUAUAGGCUAAUUAGCAGCAACAUCAUCUGAAAAUGUGGAACUUCCUGCGAUGGUGAGGUCAUUCAUUCCUUUGAUUUUAUUUUGCUGUUAUUUUUAUGUUAAUACUGUUUUAGCUUUAAAAUAUAACAUUGGAGUGUAAAACAUUACAAUUGGAGUGUACAGUGAACCCUCAUUAUAACAGACCAUAGUGGGGGCAGGGGGUGAGCGGUGUCCAUUAUUGCCGAUCAUCUGCUAUAACAGAGUAAGGUAUUAUCCUUGUAUGCAGUUGAAACAAAGAAUUGCAGAUGGUGGUAAAAGGACAUAAAGUGCUGGAGUAACUCAACGCAUCUCUGAAGAACAUGGAUUGGUGCCGCAAGGACCCAUCUUCAGAUUGAUUUAGUUUGCUGAGUUACACCCGUACUUUCUGCAGUUUCACAAUGCCGCUGGUCUGCACCAGCAAGCCUCUCCCCAUUAUCUACCCAAAAGUCUGGCAAUGCAACCCCCAGCCAUCAGCUCACCCCUGAGUCCACCACCAUCGACAAGACUGACAAGACACAUCUGGCCACCGCGGGCCCCUCCCAUCCUGCUAAGCGCCAUCACCUGCCCACUGUGAGACCUGCAAGAGAUGGGUCUUGACACAAUCAAAAAGUUGACACAAUCAAAAAGUUAUUAGGAUGCUGUUUUAGCAAGAGUAUCCUAUCCUUCAACAGCGUGCCUGCAGUGUACACUAUCUAAAAGAUACAUCAUAGAAACUUGCCAAGACAAAUUACAUGUGCGAUUUGAGUUAUUAUAAAAAAGGUAUUCAAAAGAGAAUCGAAAUUCAUCCAUAGUCUCCAAAGUUAUACUUUACUUCGCAACGUUAUGUUGUAUAUUGGCCCUGAGAUUCUGUUGCAUUGAUUAGAACUACAGACUUGGGGUGUUCUAACACUUAUGUUUAAUCCAUACACUUAUGUUUAAGACUGCAAUUAGAAUUUAAUGUCCUGAUUUGGAUGUGUAUUUAUAAGAAUGGCACAAUAGCAAUGGACUUAGUGCAAAAUUCAGUUUUGCUGAUUUCAAUGGAAGUGAAUUUCUGAAGCUUCAUGCAACAUGCUUACUCAGCGCAUUGAAUGCAUCGUAUGCCUUGAUACUCAAAGAUAGGAUGAUUAAAGGAUGAAAUUUAAUUGGAGCAUUCAAAAUUGUGAAAUCUUUUAACAUUCUCUGACUUGGUUGAUAGUUUAUUAUCAAAUUUAAGAUAAUUUGCAAAUGACAAUGGUAAAGGCCAAUGCAGCUUUGUGUGCAGUUAGUGAUUAGAGCAUGGUUCAUCCUGCUACACACACUGACAGCAAUGGCAUUCUUCAAAGACUGAUUGAGAAAUGGUUGAAUGGAUGGCUUUCAGAGAGCUGGCAAAAGCGCAGUUUGCCAAAUGGCUUCAUGCUGUGCUCUAGCAUUUUACAGAGUAGAAAAUUGUCCUUGAUCACAUGUGCAAAAUGCACAAUGUAAUAGCACGGGAAAUUCAUUUUCAUGAAGUUAACGGAGUUGAAUUUCAGAUGGGCCACUCGUUACAUCUUUACAUCUACGCAGAUAUGUCUUCAAACAAUGAACCGUAUCAAAGCUUCUGCUUAUAUAGUUUGUUCCUCCAGUAUCUGUAUUUUGUAGCCGACGAAGGUGGAUACUCCCAGAAACUCAGCAGCCAGUCUGGGCACAGUCACUUCCAUAAACACAAAUGGCAUAGUAACAAAAGAAUUAGCUUCAUACUAAAGGAUAUUAUUUUAAGGAUAUAAUACUAAAUAUCCCAAAACACUGAGCUAACUCCCCCAUUUUUAGGGAGACAGGAGGAAAUGCAGAUGCUGGAAUCUUGAGGAAACCACAGAGUGCUGGAGCAACUCAUUGGGUCUGGUUGAGCUGCCUGACCCACUGAGUUACCCCAACACUUUGUGUUCUACUCCCCCAUUUUAGUGUCUACCCAAGUGAACAAAGUGGGCUUAGUUUAAAAUCUUAUUUGAACAACUGUAUUUCCAACAUUCCCAAAUUACUGCAUUGGGGUAUUUCCAGAUUGAGAUUUUUUACAGACUCAGGAAAUAAGAAUCCUUCAAAUUAACACAUAGCCAGCACUAGAAAGUACAAAUAGAACAACAAGCACUAAGCAAGUCUUGAAAGCAACACUGCAAAAUGAUAUGCAGCUUUAAACAACAAAGUCUAUUAAAAGCUGGCCAUAUGAGAGCCAUAUGCUAUUUUUCAUGGGCAGUAAUCUUGUAGGUUUCAAAGUUUUUCGGAUUCCUGGUAUUUUGGGGGAAUUAAUUACAUUGUAUCUGAAUUAUAUUGCAAAGUAUAUUGAGGUGCCUACUGAAUAUUCAGUUUUUGACCGCAACCAUUUAAAUUCCAGAUCUUCUGGCUGGAUUUUCUGCUCCAAGCUCCAAGCUCCAAGCUCUGAAUGCCAGUUCAUUGUGGAUUCCUGUGGGGAACAAAGUUUUCCUUCCAUCAUUCAUUCACUUAACAUUCAGGCGUGCAGAAUCAAUGGGUUCCCUUGGAUCAACAUGGUGAAGCUCAGUUCCAACAUCCCUUUCAUUGAUUUGAACUCUAACAAUUUUACCUUCCAUAAACUAGGACAUUGACUGAUUUAUUUAAUCACCACUGAGCCAAAACGUUACAGUUAACACUGCAGGGAAAUCCCAUUGAAAUCUACUUGUUAAAAGUUCACACAAACAGUGUUGCCGUAUGACAUCUUCCUUAACCUAGUUAACAAGGUCCCAAUUAGCAGCAGGCUCUUAUGUGAAGUAUUGCCAUUAUUGGAUUGGCCGGAGAAAGCCCUGCUCACAAAACAACUGAGAAUAAACUUCAGCACAUUCUGAACCACUUAAUAACCAAUGGAACAAUAAAAAGUAUUUCUAGAUUAUUUACCAAAAGAUUUUA